rnacentral:lncRNA from 1 species
UGCAUUGUCUGUUUGGUGUUCAUCAAAGGGAAUGAGAAAAUACAUGGAUGCGUGAUGUCAUCUGGGUAGAAUUUGGCUAACUGUUUUCACCAACAAUUUUGUAAUGUAAAUGAGCAUGGACGACCAAUAUCUCCCUUGCAAAGAAAGUAGAAGUUUCUCAAGUUGAUUACCCUCAGUAGCUUCUCAGGUAAGGAUACCUCUGCACAAAUAAAAAUAGUUGUAAACGAACAAUGACAUUUGAGCC